UUUUUUUUUUUGUUGUUGUUCAUCCUUGGCUUUGGGUUUUCUUUUUUUUUCUUUUUUUUUUUUUUUUUUUCAUCCCAAGCAGUUUUUCCUGCAGCUCGCUUCGGGCGGAGGCGUGGGGUUCUGGUGGUUUUGUCUUUCGGAGCUUCGUAAGCCUCGGCGGGGAGCUGCGCCGUGUCCUUCACUGCAUGCUAAAACGAGAUAGGGCAGGGCCGGGAGGGGAGCGAGCAAACCCCCCCCUCGGGGCUGGCCUGGCCGCUGGGGCUGCCACGGGGGGAGGAAGGGGAGGAUGUGAGGAAGGUGAGGAAGAUGAGGUGAGGAUGUGAGGAAGGUGAAGGUGAGGAGGUGAGGAAGUGCUCCCCGCACCCCAGGCAGUUCGGAGCAAGCAGCAAACCUGUCUGCACAACACAACACAUCUCCACCAGGAGGAAAGGAAGGAAAAAAAAAAAAAAAAAAAAAAAAAAAGGAAAACCAAACCCUCCGAACUGCUCGCAGACGGGUUCCCUUCAGGCUCCGGUGCCCCCCGGUGCCAGCAGCCCCCCCGGCAGCCCUGUGGGGAGCGCCUCGGCCUCCCGGCACGGGACGAAAUGGCCGAAGCUGGCAGCACGGAGAUCAGAGCACGGUGUGGAGCCGUGCUUGGGUUGGCAGGGUGGCUUCUGGUGUUCUAUUUCCUAUUUUGAACUGUUGCGUUUUUUUACCACUUGCAUCACGAGUUAAAUCAACGUGUAAAGCGAUUAAGAAAAUUAGCCGAUUUAAACAGCAUCGGCCAUUAAAUUCCCUGGGAUUUUAAGCUGACGCUUAAGUAGAUAUCUGGAUAUUAACAAUCUCUGCAUUUUAACUUAAACCUCAAUUUUAGACUAUUUAACCCUGAAGCAAACUGGCUCUGCCUAACACAGCCCAGGCUUCAAAACAAGUCAGCCAGCCCAUAAUACUGCUGGAGCUCAGACAGCUUUGUCUGUACGUGCACCUUCCUGUGCCUUUUUCCAGGGCUGUAAUCUCGGUGAGCGCUCGGUCCCCGUUGGGGACGGGUGUCCCCAUGCUGCCAUCGGCAAGCGGCUCAGAUUUGGAUGUCCUGGAGCUGGCGCCUGGUGCUGGCAGGGCCAGAUCCUGCUGGGGCGGCGAGCGGGGUAUGGCAGCCCAGUGCAUGGUGUGGGUCCUCAGUACUGCUGGAAAUUGCUUUUGUAAGUCUGAACUGAGAAAUUUCUUUACGUUUUCAGGGUUUCUAAAUGACUGUAAUGUUCGGUGUAGUUUAAAAGUCACCAAGGCAGUUGAGACCAGUUGCGCUCCCGGAGUGGGUGGUUUAAUGUCUGAAGCUCGUAUCUGAAAAGCUGAGUGUUCUGGUACAGCGUGUUUAAAUCCCAGAAAGGUCAAACCAGACUUUCAUACCGAGUUAGAUUGACCCUGGUUUACUGCAUGAGACUCUUUAGAGAAAGAAAGAGAUCUUUCAGGGGAAAGGGAAAAAAAAAAAAAAGAUUUUUUCCUCCGAAUGGCCUGUGGUGGCUCUACGCACAUUCUUAAAGCAGCAGGGUUUGUUCUUGCCCACAGCGUCCCUCCCCUGUAUUGUUGAGACGAAAACUCUUAUGCUAAUUCUUUUAGUGUCUGUUAUCAAUAAGAAGUUUUUUAAUUUCUUUGGCAAAGUGUUGCAACUAAAGCAAAUUAGAUCGAGAGGCAAAGUGAAAUAAAAAAUAUGCAGCUGCUCUGCCAAACAAUGAUCGGGACUGUUUACAGCGUUUUGUUUUAGACUGGCUUGUACACAGAAUCCUUUAUAUCGAAGGUUUGCAUGUCACAAUCCAUUGCUUGUGCAAGCAGACUAGAUUAAUAGCUUAUAAAGGACAAAAGGGACCUAGGUUCAUCUGGUUAGACUUCCUGCAUUAUGCAGGUCAUAAGAUAUUUGGGAGUUUGUUGCUUUUUUUCAUUUGAGAGAAUUUAACAAUAGCAUACCCAUGUCUUAGGAAAGAGAUCAGAAUUUAAUUUUAAAAUGGCAUCUGAGAGAGAGUAAGAUAAGAGUUGGCAGAUUGCUUCCAUCAAAAUCGACCUGACAGACUGGAAAUUAAGAUACCUUUUUAAAACUGAGUUUUGUCUAGUUUCUGCUUUCAAUUAUUGGGCGCUGCUGCAUGUCUGUCUGCUGGACUGAGUGCUUUGUUACCAGAUUUCUGUCCUCGUGUAGUUGUGUACAGACUGGUAACUGAGCAUUUAGUGCUCCCUUUGCAGGCUCGCAGAGCUCCUCUCGGGUCCGGGUUUUCCGAUUCUGUCAUCGCUGCCACUGCGCUUCCCUGUGAACUCUCCAGUUCUUCCCAUUUUGAUCUGGGCAUCUGGAACCGGACAGAGCGUUCAGCAGUGCUGGCACCCGGUACCGCCAGCAUGCUCGGCUGAGGUUUCUGUUACACAUCCAGGGAUUGCUCCAGCCUGUGUUCAGCUGGUUUUCCCGCACGGCUCCUAAAAUGCUAUCCAACCUGCUCCUUCCUGGGACAGCAUCCCCAUCCCAUCAGCUUCUGCUCUUUGUUCUGUCAAUGGCCUUGCACUUGAAAAGGGCAGUCCUUAGACAGCAUUCUUGCUUGCAGUGGCCUUUUUUUAUACAUCCUGCUGCUGCUGUUACCAACCAGGUCUGUAGGGGACAUGUAAUUACUUCAUGUUUUCUUCUCAGCUCAUUGAUGAACGCUGCUUCUGCCCCUGCUGUAGGAGUGUCCCAGUUCCAGGUGUGUGCGUGCCUCAGUCUUGCCAAUACUGAGUCAGGAGGAGAUCUGAUCUACCCCAUCCCGUGCCGCACCCAGUCCGUGGGAGGAAAGCCCAGUUGAGGCGCUGGAAGGGAGUCUGAGGCUCGCUGCAGCAUGCGCCCGCCCUGGUGACUAAGGCAUAGCUAUUAAAUAACACGGGGCCCAAACCAGAUAGUUGCAGGACCCAUAAAAGAAAGAUAACAGCUGUAGGACACGGUGAUUACUACUGCACUUUGAGACGUUGUUAGAUGGAUUUUAUUCCACGUGAUCACGCCGUCUUGGUUUUAUAUUCUCAUAAUCACGUAAAUGCUUCACAGGGGUUGAAGUAUGGCACAUCAGCCCUCUUGCAGACAUCUCCUACUAGUGAUAAUACCUUUAUUACCUAACCUGGAAGCUUCUUCAGUUUCUCUCUCAGCAGCUAAACUCAUGGAGCUUUGCCCCUGUGGACUUGCAGCAGAAAUCCCCCAGACUCACCUUCCAGUUUGGCUGAGCAAGCAGAAACGCGCAGGGGCCAGCUGGGCCUGGCAGUGCCCUUUGCCGGGCUGAGCCCUGUUGCCUUUCCCCUGCAGCUCCGCACUGCCGCCUCUACCACUCUGCUCAGCUGCUCUUCCAAGACCUAGAGAUGUUUGGGGCUGCUCACCCACUGCCAAAUUUGAUGGAGGCUGGAAGAAGGUGGGGAAAAAUGACACAGAACUACACAGUCACAUUAGACUUAAUUUUAGGAAACCAGGCUAAAAAUAUCAAAAGAACAUUGAGGAGGAAUACGGCCUGGGUAUUUGCCUGUUCGGGUCUUUUUUUUUUUUUUUUUUUUGGCGAUGACAUUUUUCAUUUCUUCCUAAGUACGGCAGAUCAGACGGCUAGGGGAUUUCUCAGCCAAAAUACGCAACCUCCUGACAGAUGUCACCUGUGUUCCUGCGUGCUCUGAGGAUGCAUGGGAUACACGUACUGAAUAACAACGGGGAGGUGCUGGUCUGCUGUCUUGUUUCGACUGCCUGGGUACAAAGAGGGAUACCUUCACACCCAACAGGGGAACAAACAGUUAUUUUAAUCCAUACAACUUUUGAUGGACACGUUGGACGUGUGCCAGGGCUGUUUUUUUUGUCUUUUUUUUUUCUUUUCCUUUUAAACUGCAUCUGUUCAUUUUAUUUCUGGUAGUAUUAUGACAAAGCCACCCCUGUAAGAUAGGUAGUGAGUGCUUUCAGAGAUCUAAUCAUUCUUGAGCUUUAAAAGAAUAAAAAAGCUGUUUCAACA